rnacentral:rRNA from 1 species
ACCUAGUAGUAUGGGAUAGCCACUAGAAAUGGUGGGUAAUACUGUAUAAUCCCUGCGGGGGAAAGAUUUAUCGCUAUUAGAUGAGCCUAUGUUAGAUUAGCUAGUUGGUAGGGUAAAGGCCUACCAAGGCAGUGAUCUAUAGCUGGUCUGAGAGGAUGAUCAGCCACACUGGAACUGAGAUACGGUCCAGACUCCUACGGGAGGCAGCAGUGGGGAAUAUUGGACAAUGGGCGCAAGCCUGAUCCAGCUAUGCCGCGUGAGUGAGGAAGGCCUUAGGGUUGUAAAACUCUUUCAGUGGGGAAGAUAAUGACGGUACCCACAGAAGAAGUCCCGGCAAACUCCGUGCCAGCAGCCGCGGUAAUACGGAGGGGGCAAGCGUUGUUCGGAAUUAUUGGGCGUAAAGGGCAUGUAGGCGGUUCGGUAAGUUAAAGGUGAAAUGCCAGGGCUUAACCCUGGAGCUGCUUUUAAUACUGCCAGACUCGAGUCCGGGAGAGGAUAGCGAAUUUUCCUA